rnacentral:rRNA from 1 species
CUCUAAAGGGUUGUUCUAGACUAGAACGUUGAUAGGCAGGGUGUGUAAGCGCUGUGAGGCGUUGAGCUAACCUGUACUAAUGGCCCGUGAGGCUUAACCAUACAACACCCAAGGGGUUU